AUGCAGUUCCCUGACUCUGUUCUCCCUUCGCAGAUAAUCAAAGAUGAGUUCAGCCACAUUGUGUCUCAUAGAAAGAAGCUCCAGCCGGGACAGGUUCCAGAGGUGGUUCCAAAACCAAGGGCCAGAGAGAAGUCUGCUCCUCGCACCAAAGCUGGGACCCCCAUGAGGAAAGAACCCCUCAGACAAGUGUGGAAACCUGCAGCCUGUGUCGCCCAACCGGAGUAUAAAAAUGUAGUUUACCCAAAAGCUGCGGCGAUGGAGAAGCUACCAGCCAGGAUCUGUGGUCCGAAUGACCUCGACCGGUCGAACGUUCACGUGGUCGGCGAGGACGAGCAGCAUCGCGAGCUCUACCAGCGCUACCACGCCCAGCUCGAUGCCAUCCAGCGCCGGCGUCAGGAGGAGAGCCCUCCUCCCCCCCACGGUGCAGGUCCAGGGAAGGCCAGGGGUCACCAUGGUGACCAGCCCAACAUCACAGAACCGUAUCAGCUGGUGGCGGCUGCUAGGGAAGAGUAUCUGCAGAGGAGGCAGGAGGCCAGACAGUACAAACUGAGGGCUGAGAAGCAGCUGGUGAGUCUUCCUCACGCUCGGCCUCCGUGGGAUUCGCCAAGCGGAGAGGCGCAGAACUGA
rnacentral:lncRNA from 1 species